GUAGGUGGCAAGCGUUGUCCGGAAUUAUUGGGCGUAAAGCGCGCGCAGGCGGUUCUUUAAGUCUGAUGUGAAAGCCCACGGGCUCAACCGUGGAGGGUCAUUGGAAACUGGAGAACUUGAGUACAGAAGAGGAAAGCGGAAUUCCACGUGUAGCGGUGAAAUGCGUAGAGAUGUGGAGGAACACCAGCGGCGAAGGCGGCUUUCUGGUCUGUAACUGACGCUGAGGCGCGAAAGCGUGGGGAGCAAACAGGAUUAGAUACCCUGGUAGUCCACGCCGUAAACGAUGAGUGCUAAGUGUUAGGGGGUUUCCGCCCCUUAGUGCUGCAGCUUACGCAUUAAGCACUCCGCCUGGGGAGUACGACCGCAAGGUUG
rnacentral:rRNA from 1 species